rnacentral:rRNA from 1 species
UAACACAUGCAAGUCGAGCGGAAACGAGUUAUCUGAACCUUCGGGGGACGAUAACGGCGUCGAGCGGCGGACGGGUGAGUAAUGCCUAGGAAAUUGCCCUGAUGUGGGGGAUAACCAUUGGAAACGAUGGCUAAUACCGCAUAAUGCCUACGGGCCAAAGAGGGGGACCUUCGGGCCUCUCGCGUCAGGAUAUGCCUAGGUGGGAUUAGCUAGUUGGUGAGGUAAUGGCUCACCAAGGCGACGAUCCCUAGCUGGUCUGAGAGGAUGAUCAGCCACACUGGAACUGAGACACGGUCCAGACUCCUACGGGAGGCAGCAGUGGGGAAUAUUGCACAAUGGGCGCAAGCCUGAUGCAGCCAUGCCGCGUGUGUGAAGAAGGCCUUCGGGUUGUAAAGCACUUUCAGUCGUGAGGAAGGUGGUGUAGUUAAUAGCUGCAUUAUUUGACGUUAGCGACAGAAGAAGCACCGGCUAACUCCGUGCCAGCAGCCGCGGUAAUACGGAGGGUGCGAGCGUUAAUCGGAAUUACUGGGCGUAAAGCGCAUGCAGGUGGUUUGUUAAGUCAGAUGUGAAAGCCCGGGGCUCAACCUCGGAAUAGCAUUUGAAACUGGCAGACUAGAGUACUGUAGAGGGGGGUAGAAUUUCAGGUGUAGCGGUGAAAUGCGUAGAGAUCUGAAGGAAUACCGGUGGCGAAGGCGGCCCCCUGGACAGAUACUGACACUCAGAUGCGAAAGCGUGGGGAGCAAACAGGAUUAGAUACCNUGGUAGUCCACGCCGUAAACGAUGUCUACUUGGAGGUUGUGGCCUUGAGCCGUGGCUUUCGGAGCUAACGCGUUAAGUAGACCGCCUGGGGAGUACGGUCGCAAGAU